rnacentral:rRNA from 1 species
GUCAUAUGCUUGUCUCAAAGAUUAAGCCAUGCAUGUCUCAGUACAAGCCAAAUUAAGGUGAAACCGCGAAAGGCUCAUUAAAUCAGUUAUGGUUCCUUAGAUCGUACCCACAAUUACUUGGAUAACUGUGGUAAUUCUAGAGCUAAUACAUGCAAACAGAGCUCCGACCGGAGACGGAAGGAGUGCUUUUAUUAGAUCAAAACCAAUCGGUGGCGGGUUCGCGCUCGUUAUCGUAUAACUUGGUGACUCUGAAUAACUUUACGCUGAUCGCACGGUCAUCGCACCGGCGACGCAUCUUUCAAAUGUCUGCCUUAUCAACUGUCGAUGGUAGGUUCUGCGCCUACCAUGGUUGUAACGGGUAACGGGGAAUCAGGGUUCGAUUCCGGAGAGGGAGCCUGAGAAACGGCUACCACAUCCAAGGAAGGCAGCAGGCGCGCAAAUUACCCACUCCCGGCACGGGGAGGUAGUGACRAAAAAUAACGAUACGGGACUCAUCCGAGGCCCCGUAAUCGGAAUGAGUACACUCUAAACCCUUUAACGAGGAUCAAUUGGAGGGCAAGUCUGGUGCCAGCAGCCGCGG